UUUGACAGUUGUGUGUAUUAAGGUUGGUGUGUAAUUGCAAAUUAUAGUAAUAAGUGCUAAAUAACGCGCGCAAAGCGCGCACCUAUAAUACUAGUAUAAUAAAAAAAGCAUUUGAGAUUAAUAAGUUUUUUGUAAGGAUCCAGACAUAUGUUUACCUUAAUUUAAAGGGAAUUUCCUGAAUGAAACUUGUUCCUAGUUAACAGUUGUUCCUAGUAAACUGAUCAACUUUUUUAUGCAUAGACACAUUUCACGCGCGGUUAUAUAGCAUCUCAUAAUAUUCACACUAUUUACAUGCCGUUGAAUACAUUUAGAAACCUGAUUCUGUUUUGUCGCAAGAAAAUGUUAAAAGUUGCCAAAAAUGCCAUUUUUAGCCACUUUUAUUCCAAUUUACUCAAAAUUCUGGCGCGCUAGGCGAAUUCUUCAAACGGUCUAUCUCUAUUAGUUUACGAGAUAAAAAGGGGUGGCC